rnacentral:rRNA from 1 species
GGAUAACUUACCCUUAGGACUGGGAUAACUCUGGGAAACUGGGGAUAAUACUGGAUAUUAGGCUAUGCCUGGAAUGGUUUGCCUUUGAAAUGUUUUUUCGCCUAAGGAUAGGUCUGCGGCUGAUUAGGUCGUUGGUGGGGUAAUGGCCUACCAAGCCGAUGAUCGGUACGGGUUGUGAGAGCAAGGGCCCGGAGAUGGAACCUGAGACAAGGUUCCAGACCCUACGGGGUGCAGCAGGCGCGAAACCUCCGCAAUGUACGAAAGUGCGACGGGGGGAUCCCAAGUGUUAUGCUUUUUUGUAUGACUUUUCAUUAGUGUAAAAAGCUUUUAGAAUAAGAGCUGGGCAAGACCGGUGCCAGCCGCCGCGGUAACACCGGCAGCUCGAGUGGUAGCU